UAGUGGAGCUCCAAAUGACUGAUCCAUAAGCCUGAUACAACAAAUAUCAAAAUAUAUUUUUACUACAAUUUCUACUGAUCUCGCAAUCUGAUUGUCAUCACAGUGGUCAAAAUUUGUUGUGGACUCACUUGGCUGUGCUUCGUGACUCCACAACAUUUUGGCCACUGUGAUGAUGCGCAUCAUUGUCAAUAAGAGUACAGACCACGCUAAACCACAUUCGAUUUGUUAAAUUCAAACCAGUGAAGUCAUUUAUCAACAUCUAUGAACAAACAUUAUCAUAAUUUCAACUGUGGCAACAAACAGAACUUUUUUUCAGCAGAAUGGUAACUAGAGACAAAAGUAGAAACUUAUCCUUAGAUUAAAUUUCCAGAGUCAACAACUCUUUCAAUGGUAUAAUGAAUAUAAUAAUUAAGUCAGGUCGAGAUGGAUUGUCAUGCAUGGCUGACUGAGUUUUUCCUUCAAUGCAAAUUUCCUUCAUAUUUGCAUGAGCUUUCUUUCAAGGGAAUUGUUUAAGCUCAGAAAUUACCAGAGGCAUUGUGCACAACAAUUUAUACGUAGAUAGAGUUAAAAUUAAGCUUAAUUAUUGAGUUGCGUUUAUUUCAAGCACUGAUCAUGCUAAAAUCUAUGCUAUGACAAACACUUCAAUUUAAUGCACAAGACUUGACUGAGUAAGAAAAAAAUUAUCUUUGUCAACUUUUGUAAAUGAGUAAAUGUGAAUUGAAAAUAAAGUCUUGUCUUUUCUUAACGAAGAGCUUUGCCGAUCAAUUGUGAUUCAGUGAAGUGCAAUUAAUCUUCGACCAAAAUGUUUUCACUGCCGAGGAUCUGUCCUGCUAUGAAUAUACGCAAUUCAUAGCUCUUUAUGUAGCCACUGCUGCGUUUAAUUUACUUUUUAAACUCCGUUAUUCUCUGAAAAUUGAAAACAAAUGAACGAAAUUCAAAGACUUACCUUUCCUGGUCCAAAGCGCAUUGAAAAUUUCACCAGAUCCGCCAUAAUGAAGCCAAAUGAAGAAAAAUGUCUGCUUUCCUCACAGCCGACUUCGUUGACCUUUAGUCUCCUCCCUGAUUGGCCAGAAAAAUGCGGGAAGCCGCUGGCAACCGCGUUUUUCCCGCUGUUUUUCGAGCUGUUUUCGAGCUGUUUUCUUGUGCCCCCUCCCAGUCAAGUGAAAACUUUUUUAUUAAAAAAAUACACAUUGGCAAGAAAGCAAGCUUUCAUUUAAUCGUUAAAAC